GUGUGCAGUUCGUGUCCGCAUCAUCAUACGCGCCAGUAUCGCUGGAAGACUGCACGAACAGAAACCCCUGUAAAGGGUCCGAUGUCACGAUAUGGCGCUUUUCCAAUGUAGGGUACAACUUGGCUCGGUACGAUGCAGCUCAGCUCGCUUUCGUUGCUUUUCCAGUACAGUUUAGUAUCGCUUCAGAGUGGGUGAGAUUAUAGGCAGGGGUGCACAUAACUGGUGCGUAUGUGCAAAUAGAAACAAUUCUAGCGUACCAGCGUUGCUGGAAUUUUGUUACAUAGUUAGCUAAUUUACUUCGACAUAAGGGAUUUCUAUCAGUGGUAAGAUAUUUAAUGUGUGUUGUUAGCAGUGAUCCGCAUCUCAAUGCUUCAGACAGCUUGCUAGUACAAGUAUACAUUUAUAUGAGUUAGGCUAGUAUUUAUUUAUAAAGAUUACAUAAGUAAAAAACUAUAACUUAAAGGCUUAUUUUAUGUACAUCAUUGUCUACCAUGUUUAAACAAAAUAGAUAUGGCAAAGAGAGUAGUCAGGAGAAAAGUGAUGAUGUCAGCAUGUAGGAUGUCUGUGCUAUGAAUAGUGUGAGUACCAAGUAACAUCUCCAGGUGCUACUUUGAGAACCAGGACAAAAAAAGUUAUGUGCACCCCUGAUUAUAGGCUUAUUGUUACAGUUGCGUCCCCUCUACUGCCGUAACAUCAUCGUAAAUGCGAUACAAACACACACACACACACACACACACACACACACACACAACAUGGAGCAACAGAGCAUAUUAAUGGAAUGCAGCCACAAAAUCAAAAUUGACACCCACAAGUAGAUUUUCCACUACCUCUCUCACAUGACAGGUUCUGUACAAACACCCGUGUCAUCGGUAUGUGCACUCCGCUGACAGAACAUUUAUGCCUAUACUUUUGGUGCGUUUUGAAUGCGGAGCCAUGCGCAAAGUUACAAAAUGCCAUGCAGACAUGGGUGCAGUGGUGUGCUCUGCAUUUUUGUAAAUUUGCACAUGGCUUCGCAUCCGAAACCCAUUACCCCUCUCACAAAAGUCAGCUGUGCUGAACUGGGUCAUACUAUGCAAUGGAAAAGCAUCAAAAGUGUCCUACUUCCUGGCUUGAAGGAUUUAGGUAAGCAAAUUUAUCUGACAUACCAAAACCUAAAAGUUAUAAAAAAAGUUUUAAUUCUUUCUUGCAGUGUAAACAACGGCAUUUUGAUCUUAACAUUUAUUCACAUUUAAUGAGAUAUGGAGAUUUUUAUCUUUUACAGAUGAAGACAUACAUUUGAGUGAGACGUUUUUAUGUCCAUACACUGCGGGCCACCAUACAUGAAAGUCACCAUCAUGUUUCUACAGUAGCCCUAAAUGGACAAACUGUUCUACAGAGCGUGUUUCGUCCAUAUGUUGUCUCAAGGGCUCAUUAUAGCAAACAUACAUGUAGACCACUGGUAGGCAGUAUCCACGCGUGUAACCACAGAAGCAGCUUGGCCAGUUUAACUCACAAACGAAGAAACCGCAGAUUGUUGUGUAUGUUUUAAGAAGACCAACAGAAGUGGCGGCCGAUGACUUCUUUUUUUGAGGGCGCUUGAUGCGAAGUUCAUCACAACAUGUAUGUAGCCCGUCAUGUGUGUGGUUCCUUUUUUCAAAAUAUGUGUUCAGCGCUUUGAGAGAUCCUGUGUGCAUCACAUGUCUUGUCAAAAUAAGUGCCUGUUGUAGAUGCGUUUAAAGGGUUUAGGAUAAAAGAGACGCUCGGGUUUGCCAGAUACUCGCAUAAUCUCAUGUGUAAUCAAAGUUUACUGUUAAGGGAGUGUCUUGUGUGAACGUGAGCGUCUCUUUUAUCAUAAACGGUUUUGACGCAUGUGCAGCAGGCACUUAUUUUGACAAAACACGUGAUGCACACAGGAUCUCUCGACACGCAGGACACAUAUUUUGCAAGAGGGGACCACACACAUGAUACUCCGAACACUUAUUUUGAAUUAGCGCCCCUCGGAUGAGGAGUCACGAGCGCCACUGACCAGCAUUGUUCGAAGUAAAUAAACAGCGACUCGUUGCAGCAGUUUGAGUUAAGUCAUUCCUCAACUUGGCCUAUUUUUGUUCUCACCGUCGCAAAUAGAAAUGGCUAUGACGCAGUUUUUUUACCUGAUGGGAGGGGUUCUAGUGGACCAAUAACAGCGCUUGUGGUCCGCGUAGAACUGACACGCUGUUAAAAAUCAGGCUACGCUCAGGCUAUGGAUAACCUACGAUGUAGACCUUACGCACGACUAUAACAUGGGCUUCAGACGAUGACAUUUUUGUCCGGUGGCAGCUACCAUAGAAUCUCAUUGUGUUUCAAAAUUGAGGUUGCUUUCUAUUUACAAUUUCACCGCUAGAUGCCACAACAAAAUAUAAUACACCUGUAACAGAUAUAACUUUUGAAUUGAAAUAUGGUUUAGCAAAUGCUGAAAUUAACAUGAGUUUUUGUGUCAAAGUAUUGUUUAUUGUUAGUUCAUUGUGGCAAAUGCUAACAAAUACAAGCUUAUUGUAAAGUGUUAUCUUUGCAAUUUAAUACUAAACUUAAAAAUUUGUAAUUUCAGAGGGGUUGAAGGUUACAAUGUUUUGAGCUCAUUUGUUAACAGUAAACAAUAUAAUAAUAUUGGGCUUGUUUUUGAAGCUGCGGUUACUUUUUUGUCUCACAAGAGCUGGCAACACUGAAGACAGUUUAGUAAGAAACCGUAUAGAAAAAAGAAAAAUAAUAGAAAAAAAGGAAAAUUAUGAAAUUACAAAGUACACCUUAUUUUGCAGUUUAACCAACACUUUGACAGUUUAAAUGAUGGGUGUAGAAUGUGAGAAAUUGUUCAAGUUUACAUGAGGAUGUAUGUCUUACCUGUAUCUUUUUUAUUGUUCUUUUCCAGCAGUUUCAGCGUUGGACUUGUGUUCCGCGUGUUUGGCCUCUUUAGCACUUGCUGUUUGAAAGUCAUUCCUUGCAACAGAUUGAGUGACUGUCAUUCUGCAUUUCUGUUUGCAUUGCUUUGCUUGCAUUUGAAUCCUUUGCAAUAAUAAAAGUUUUACAUUUGA